AAUCGAAGCAGUGAACUUAAGCCCCAGUAAACGGCGGCCGUAACUAUAACGGUCCUAAGGUAGCGAAAUUCCUUGUCGGGUAAGUUCCGACCCGCACGAAAGGCGUAACGAUUUGGGCACUGUCUCAACAACAGACUCGGUGAAAUUGUAAUUCCGGUGAAGAUGCCGGAUACCUGCGACAGGACGGAAAGACCCCAUGGAGCUUUACUGUAGCUUGACAUUGGGUCUUGGUACUACAUGUACAGGAUAGGUGGGAGGCUUUGAAACCAGGACGCCAGUUUUGGCGGAGCCAUCCUUGGGAUACCACCCUUGUAGUACUGGGACUCUAACCAUAGGCCAUGAAUCUGGUCUUGGGACACUGUCAGGUGGGCAGUUUGACUGGGGCGGUCGCCUCCCAAAAGGUAACGGAGGCGCUCAAAGGUUCUC
rnacentral:rRNA from 1 species